UUGAACUAUAUACUGCUCCCUACAUUGAGCAUUGUGUCCUGUAGUAACUUUGAUACAAAACAGAAAUUACACAGAUCAACUGAAGUGACUAAAACUCAAUCAGUACCCUUUUUGCUAGUGUACUGUGCUUAAUUGCAAAAACGUGUCUGUUAUGGGAAAAAUUGUCUCUUCCUUAUUUCUAUGUGUCUUCCUUACUUCUAUGCAGUUAUUAUAUGAUUUAUGACUUAUGUUCUGCAAUUAAUAUCUUAUGUUUUGUCUUACUGUAUGCAUUUGACAUUGAUUGUUCAAUGGUUGUCUCUGCCUGAUAGACUCUCAACUCUAGCUCCCAAACCCAAGGUCGGGGAGUUGUGUCUCUGUCUGUUGAGACUUGGUGCUCCUUUCUCACAGAUAGUUGGACGUCAGCGAUGCAGGUGUGAGAAUGUAAAUAUCUUCACACAUACUGCGACAGGGAGGAGAUGGUGCAUGUAAUUUGAUUGGGUUAGAAAGACAUUCCACCCUAGUCGGACAGAGAAGCUAAAAGGCAGAAGCAACUUUAGGAUCGGGUGAUCUUUGCAUUAUACCUCCGUGGUGUAUGUUCUUAUCUCCCCAGCUGGCUUUUUAUUUGCUUUCCUCAUUAUUUUUAUUUUCUUUAUUAUUUCAAUAAAUCGCACAAAAGGACAACUCUCUCUCAUCUGCCUUUAUUGCAAAAUUUCCACCACAGAAAUUGGCGUCUACGAACAGGAUCCCGCGGCAGGUCGUCUGGACGGCGUGAUCAGGGACGGCGGUCCUGAGGACUAGGGUCGCUCAGCCUCCAAACCUCGACAGCUGUUCUGAGUGGGAGGACUGCUCACCCGUCUGGAUCGCCUCUGACGAGAUCCAACGAACACAAAACCUCUACCCGGCCCGGUGAGAGAGAUUCCGUUUUGUUGCGACUUAUUAAUGAAAAAAAAAAAAAAAAAAAAGAAAGAAAACGGGUUUGAAAUUGGUUUCAGGUAUUCGGGUUGACUUGGCUCUGAUCAUUUGGUUUAGGGAAAGUAAGGCAAAUAACAAUUAAUUCUAAAGCAUCCCCAACUAGACUAAAACAUAAAAGAAAACAUAAUUAGGACUAGAGAUGAUAAUCUUUCUAAAACAACUAUUUGGCUGAAAACAUCCAAAAUAUAAAAUUAGGAAAAAAUUAUAAUUUUAAAAUUUAAUAUUCGGGUAAAAUUAAUUAGGUCAAAGUCUGCCCUGGUGGCCGAGACGGUGGUUGCUAAGGGUUGGCUCGUGGGACCGAGCUUUUUGUCUGUACUGAGGAUACAGACCAGUGUGCAGAUCUGAGCGCAGUCCAAAGGGUGUGGACAAGGAAAUAAAAGACGGCUUCUGAAAUACGGAGCGCGUUUGCAGGGGGAAGUGGUUUUGAGAUACGAGGGACCCGGGUCUUAGAGGGGCCUGACGGUGAGGGACCACUUCCGAGAACCCUGUCGCUGAUCUGAGCGGUUCCCUUUCUACGGAGACGUCCGUGGAAGAGAAAUUUCGAAAAAAGAACCGAGCGCGAUGAGGGUAAAUCCGGAUCUGGACUCCUUUCCCACCAUCAGCAGAAGAACCGAAGGAGAAGAAGCGCCUGAUCAACAACCAGAACAGGGUGGAAGCUCUGACACCACAGCAGCUGGAGGACACAGGCCACAGCAUGGACGCCUCACAGACUCCCACAACGUCUGCAGCCGUCACGUUCUGGGCUCAUCAGAUGAACCAGCUACUACAAGCCCUGCACCAGCAGGAAAAGACUGUGUCUGAAGCUUCAGAGGCCGUGAAACUGUCAUACACGCGUGUGUGUCUGACAGACACCUGCUUAUGACAAUCAGCAAAGGAAAACAAGGACAGAGCAACAGCAGAGAAGACGUGCUCUGACACAGACACUGGUUGAAACAACAGGAGAGGCUUCAGACGUGAUCGGCCCAAAAGAGCUGCAUCUGAGGAUCCAGGAAAGGUCUGUCAUCGAGGAACAACUGUCCCAUCGAAAGGCUUCACCCACUGGCGCUCACAUCAGACUGAUGGUUGGGGAAGGAGGAAGGUGACGGUUCCUUUUCACGUGACGUACAAGACGGUACCGCAAACAUACACACACACAUUCAUACACGCAAUGAAGAAACACGCUUACAGCUGAUAAAUUCAUGUUCAUGCUUAUCUGCUCGCAAUGAAGAAUUGCUUUUUGCUUUGAAAAAUCCCACAGAGUGAUUUUAAAAUGAUGACAAACAGCUAAAUGACAACUGCUGCAUGACUUUGCAGUCUGAUGGGUUUAAACUAUGUUUAACUUGCAACAAAUUCAGUAAUAAAAUCCUCCAUGUUUCUAAAAAGAUUUGUGCACAAAAUAGGUUUGUCUGGCCAGACUAUAGAAAAACAAAACAGACUGUAGGAAAACAAAACAAAACCAGACUGUAGAAAAACAAAACAGACUAUAGGAAGACUGAAACUGACUGAAACAGACUAUUAAUGAUUAUUGAAGGGAAGACGACUAUUAGAGAGAAGUAAUAAUAAUGACAUAUAAUAAAUGUACAUACCAGACUAUUAAAGAACAACUUAUUUUUUCACUGUCUUGUGCAACAUCUGACAGAAAGACACCUUGAGAUUUAUUUUUGCUUUCAAACUUGUGCCCAGUUAAAUUUUUAGGAAGAGAUCUCAUGUGUAGUUUAGAGAUUUGAUUGAUUUCCACUCCAGACGGAGUGCAGGUUACAUCUACAGACAUUCUAAAUAAUCCCUCUUUUGUUGGUGUUAACUUCAGCUCAGCUGUGCUCUUAUCAUUGGCUGCUGAAGGGGAGCUGUAACUGAGGCCCUCAUACAGGCUGCAUCACAGCUUGUUUAUGAUUUCACACAAACUGACCUCAACUUCCCUCUUUUGGGAUGAACACAGGUCUGCGCUUGCGAUUCCUUUUACUAACGAACAAAAAGAUUUUUGAUGUUUAUUUUACAGUUCCACACGUCCCUCUGUGAAAACAUGAUGGAGACAGAUGACAGGACGUGGGUCCUUUCGUGAACAGAUGUCAACGGGGUGGAGACUGGUGAACGACUUCCGACCCCAUGUGACGUAUUUACCCACAUUACAUGCUUUUGUUUUUAUUUUUCAGAGGACGCUCUGAGCCAACACUCAGCCUCACAGGAAGCCCUGCUUCCCUGUGGCUCACACACAGACAUAAUGUAGGUUUGAUCAGAGGAUGUGAACCAGUGGUCAUCACACCUAAAUCUGACCACAGACCAUGUAAACAACAACACCCUCUUAAAGGAAGCCAUAGACAGCGUUACUGCAGACACCACUAAGCUACUGAAUCAUUGGAUGCUACAGGCCACAAAGAGAGCCUGUCUAAAUUACAGUUAGGUCAGACAAAGGUUAUUUUCUGGGUCAUUGUAAUUACAGCUGAUGGCAAAUCCAUCUCACCCAACAGAGUUAAAGCAAUUUGAAACCUGCCUAAACCGUGCACGUAUAAACAGCUUAUGUCUUUUCUAGGUCUUUUGUUCUUAUUGUAGGACUUUCGUUCCUAACUUUACUGUCUUUGAGGCCCCACUCAGGGUUCUGAUGCAGACGUCUUCAUCGUCCACUUCUUGUCUCACGUGGACGUCUGAGGCUGAACAACGUUCACUGACCUCAUGCUUGCUCUUCAGUCGACUCCUACUUUGGGUCUCCCUGAUCUGACCCUACGCGACCUUUCACUCAAACAGUGGAUGAGAAAUCAGGUUGUACGACUUCUGUUCUUUUGUCCUCAUACUGUGUCUUUGAUUCUUUUGGAAUAGAUCACAUCUUUCUACAGCCCGAUGGCUUAGAUACAACACCACCUUGCUCAACAUGCUGAACAUUACUAUCAAGAGUCCGUCUUGAAGUCUGGCUUUGCUAAGACACUGCUCUGCUCAGGCUGCAGAGUUGAUCGUAUUGACUGAAGCUAGUAAACUAGCAGAAGGAGAGUGUGUUACCAUCUACACAGACUCCACAGACGCUUGUCACACGUUGGUUCUCUGUGGAAGCAUAGGAAGCUUUUGAAGUCUGAUUGCAAACCUAUCUCACAUCAUGAUUAGGUUCUGCUUUGCUGGACGCUGUCCUGCUGCCUACAGCUAAUGCUGUUUGGAACUGUCCCACUCACAACAUCAUUGACAACUGUGUUUCUGCCGACAUGCAGCUGCAGACGCUGCUGCGAAGGUCACUGCCCAACAACCCCUCCCUCUCCUGAUCCUCGUUUCCUCUCCUGAUCCUUGUUCCCUCUCUCCAAUUCUCUCUAUCCUUUCCUUCCUCUCUCUCCCUGUGCUUUAAACAUUUUCUACCUCACAAGAACACAGACUCUGGCUGACGAAUGGUUCCACCUGUAGCCAUGGAGUCUGGUUUGGGCCUGACGACAAACCGUGCCGUCCAAACACUUUUUCCCCACAAUUCAGAUUUCCCAACAGGUGAAAACAGUCGACAGGACCACUACACACCAUCCAACCGGGAGACUGGGCGAUCGUUAGGGAGUUCAGGAGGAAGAAUUGGGACUCCAAACGGUGGCGAGGCCCCUUCCAGGUCCUUCUGACGACCCACACGGCUGUAAAGAUCGCAGAGAGAGCGAUUUGGAUCCACUCCAUCCAGGAAGGUCCCUCAUCCAACAGACGACCCUCCAUCUACAUCCCACGGAGAAAACCACCACUGACAUAAAGAACUGAGAAGGACGACCCUCGCUGUGCUCACACACGCACUGAGACGAGGCUGCGUUGACCGUUCAGCUAAAGGUGUGAGCCAAGCGCCGCCUGAAGCUGCACCGGUGAAUCACACUAUCAGACCAUACAUCUACACACACGCUCCUGAGAAAACACACACACGAGCAGCUUUGAGUUGCCGACGCUGGACGACGUGUAGACUCUUCACAUCAUGGGAGUGACAGUGACUCAGACGACAUUGGGAGGAAACCUGGCGGUGAUAACGAAUCCCAAGUGUCUCUGUGAUCAGCUGAUCACAACCUGAAGGACUCCAACGAACUGGCAAUACAUCAACACACAGGUUGGAAAUAAUCUAACGCUACUGUUCAACAGGAAGAAGCAGAUUGUUACGAGACAUCAAUUGUAAACAUGCUUUGUUAGACUUCAUUUUAUGUUACUUGGAUUGUUGCCUUUAUCAUAUGAUGUUUCUAUGUAACUUUACACAAUACUUUUGAAUGAGAAAAUUUCACAACAACAACAACAACGACACUGAGUUUAAAUAUCCUGAAGUUGACUUGGUGUUUAAUUUGCUCACAAUCACUUAUUCACUGCUACAAUUCGUUUUUAUCCUUCAUCUACAGAUGACAGAGGUUAUGAGACAAAACGCAUCAUCAUUCUGGUUAAAUCCCUGAAUCUCCUAUUCGAUCUAGACGCAAAUGUACAAUUAAAGAUCCGAAAGCAUGAAAUCUAUCUUAAGAUUAUAUGAAGCAGAACCCCAUCGGAAACCUAUGGCUAUCAUACAUUAAUUGUCUUUAUUACAUUACAAUUGAAUGGCCGUAGACACGUUGUUAGCAGAGAAAAGAGGCGUUUGUGUUAUGUUUGGAGACGCAUGUUGUACUUACAUCCUGAAUAACACUGAUUCUAAUGGUAUUGUGGCGAAGGCGCUCCACGGCCUUCAGAAUCUCAGCUAACUCUGGUAUAGGUUCUACCCCUUGGAAUUGGCUAGACGAAAUGUCUGGAAAAUGGAAAUCUGUUCUCAUGUCCGCAGCUGUUUCCCUUAUCAUUGAGAUGGCUGUGAUUCUCUUGUUUGGUUUUUACGUUAUCCCACUGGUUAGAGGUCUCAUCAUGCGUGCGACCUCAGCAACACUCUCGUAUCAAAUGACACAAUGCACUAUGUUCAAAAACCCCAACUCUAACUCACUUAAUGACUUUGACGAUGGUAUGGGCUCAUUUUUUUCACAUGCCGAUACAGAAGUUAUUCUUGUAUAACUACCCACCAAAACAGCUCCCAACCUUUGCAAGUUACUUGCAUUUUAUGUGAAGGUGUAUUUUGAAUCUUGAUGAGUUAAUACCCUUAUUGUUUCAUUUGCAAGAAUCUUUUAUUAUUACAGAAUGUGAGGUUGACAAUUUUUAUUCCUUUAUGGUUUGAUUAAUGUGUAAUCAAAAGGGGGGAGUGUUAUGGGAAAAAUUGUCUCUUCCUUAUUUCUAUGUGUCUUCCUUACUUCUAUGCAGUUAUUAUAUGAUUUAUGACUUAUGUUCUGCAAUUAAUAUCUUAUGUUUUGUCUUACUGUAUGCAUUUGACAUUUCACCUAGAUUGUUCAAUGGUUGUCUCUGCCUGAUAGACUCUCAACUCUAGCUCCCAAACCCAAGGUCGGGGAGUUGUGUCUCUGUCUGUUGAGACUUGGUGCUCCUUUCUCACAGAUAGUUGGACGUCAGCGAUGCAGGUGUGAGAAUGUAAAUAUCUUCACACAUACUGCGACAGGGAGGAGAUGGUGCAUGUAAUUUGAUUGGGUUAGAAAGACAUUCCACCCUAGUCGGACAGAGAAGCUAAAAGGCAGAAGCAACUUUAGGAUCGGGUGAUCUUUGCAUUAUACCUCCGUGGUGUAUGUUCUGAUCUCCCCAGCUGGCUUUUUAUUUGCUUUCCUCAUUAUUUUUAUUUUCUUUAUUAUUUCAAUAAAUCGCACAAAAGGACAA